UCUGUCUCAAAAAAAAAAAGGACGGAAGGCUUCGAGCUGGCCCCGCGGCAGGGACUCCGCGCAGUCCCGAGCAGCCCCGGCUGGAGCGCAGCGCGGACGUGUUUCCGUUCACUGUAAAAAGAAACACAAGCGAGAGGAGGAAGAUGAUGAUUGUCCUGUAAGAAAGAAAAGGCUAAUUGAAGCAGAGCUCUGUGCUGGUCCUAAUGACUGGAUUCUUUGUGCACAUCAGGGUGUGGAGGGUCAUGGAGUAAAUCCGUGCACUAGUGGCCUUUCUGUACCUGGCAUGUUAGAUGUUAUUUGUGAAGAAAUGGAGCAGACGACUGGAGAACCACAGUGUGAAGUUGCCCGAAGGAGGCUUCAGGAGAUUGAGGACAGGAUAAUUGACGAAGAUGAAGAAGUUGAAGCUGACAGAAAUGUUAAUAAUCUCCCCAGUCUUGUCCUUUCUGAUACCAUGAAAACUGGUUUGAAGAGGGAAUUUGAUGAAGUCUUUACAAAGAAAAUGAUUGAGUCCAUGAGCCAUCCUUCCAUGGAGCUUGUGCUCUGGAAACCUCUCCCUGAACUCCUUUCUGAUAAGCCAAAGCCAUCAUCUAAUGCUAAGAACUACACAGGAGAGAGCCAAACUAAGCAUGGAGCUGCUGGCACUGCCUUCCCUCAGAGAACUGAACUGUUCUUAGAACCUCGGCAAACAGGGAUGCCUCUUUACAAUAGUUUGGAGACAGCUGCUAACACAGAAGAAGAGAUGGAACUCUAGAAACCAGUUUCUACACUAAAGUUGUCAAAUUUUAGAAGACUCCUGUGUUCAGUCAUGGGCCUACUUGGAUAGUAUGGGGACUUGAAAGUUUUAUGAAACGGGUGUAAUAAUAUCUCCACCUGUGAUUUGGGGUGGGACUCUCAUUUUGGGUAGCCAUUUAUUGAAUUCAACGUUUUGCCAAGGAAGUUUGUCUCAAGGGAAAAGCAGUUUUCUAUGAGGCUUUUUAAAGGAAUGGUGGAUGACAGUUUCUUCAAAGGCCAAGUAUAAAAGCCGUGUGUGUAAGAGUAACUGAAGGUAUCUGUCACUAUUGUCCAAACUAUUCAGACACUUGCAUAAUAUUCUCUAGUUGAAAAAGAUGUUAAGAACGAAGGGUGCUCCUACAAGUACCUUGACAAUUAAGUCACACAUUAGUCUGUAGGUAUAAGCAAUGGUGACUAUAUAUGAUUGAGGAGAAAGAUAAAAGAAAGCAGUAGCUUAAACUUAUAGCUAAGAAGUUUAACAGAGGCCUUGACAUUUAUAAAUUUGUUGUCAGUUCUUUAUAGCUAUGUUUAUUAAAUAGCCAGUAGCAUUGUAGCUCUCCUUUUUGCCUCUGAAAAUGCAAUGAAAAUACAAAGAAAAGGUUGUUCCUUUAAGGCUUUGCCUUGUGCUGCUGUUGCUCCUUGGUUUCCUUUGCAUAAUUGAUAAGCCCAGUUAUUCAGUAAUGUUUACAACUUAAUUAAUUUUGAUAGUUAAAAAGAUUGAGGUAACCCAUCUGCAAAUUGCCUAUGGGAGAAGCAUCCUUUAGUUAAUCCUAAGGAAGUGCUUUGUCUGCUAAACCCAGCAUCGAUAACUUCUGUAGUUUAAAAAAAAAGUUGUAUUAGUGAGUUGAGUUUUUUAAUGUUAAUUUAGAAAAUGAUGAAUAAUUAACCGAGAAUACAUGGGCAAGUGACAUUCAGGUUUACUGAACUAGCCAAUUUGUCUGGUGCUUAAAUUAUUGUGCAGUAAGCCUAAAAGCUAGUGGAGAAUAGAUUCCUGCUAGCAGGAGAUCAUCUUGAGUACCUCAACCAAGCUCAAGGUGUCCGUUAGGGAUAACCAGGAUUUAAUAUUUUUAAUUUCUCAGGAAGAGCUCUUCUGUGCAGCAAGGACUCAUAGUGCAAAGUAAAAUGACAGUUCCUUUAUUGGUACAGAAUAUUCACUAUAAGUUAUUAAAUGAGUGUAAUAGUGUAAUACUGGCCCUUCCAUCACAUAACAGGAGACCACCCCAGUUCUUUUUG